rnacentral:rRNA from 1 species
AUUGAACGCUGGCGGCAUGCCUUACACAUGCAAGUCGAACGGCAGCACGGGUGCUUGCACCUGGUGGCGAGUGGCGAACGGGUGAGUAAUACAUCGGAACAUGUCCUGUAGUGGGGGAUAGCCCGGCGAAAGCCGGAUUAAUACCGCAUACGAUCCACGGAUGAAAGCGGGGGACCUUCGGGCCUCGCGCUAUAGGGUUGGCCGAUGGCUGAUUAGCUAGUUGGUGGGGUAAAGGCCUACCAAGGUGACGAUCAGUAGCUGGUCUGAGAGGACGACCAGCCACACUGGGACUGAGACACGGCCCAGACUCCUACGGGAGGCAGCAGUGGGGAAUUUUGGACAAUGGGCGAAAGCCUGAUCCAGCAAUGCCGCGUGUGUGAAGAAGGCCUUCGGGUUGUAAAGCACUUUUGUCCGGAAAGAAAUCCUUGACUCUAAUACAGUCGGGGGAUGACGGUACCGGAAGAAUAAGCACCGGCUAACUACGUG